GCGCCCCCAGGACCCUCGGGCGGGCCGGCAGCGCUUUUCGGGGUUGCGCUUCCCGCUCCCCUGGCGGGCGCCGGGUUGAGACUUGUCCUUGCUGAGCACUGAGAAUCAGCCACCCUGCCAGUUGCAGAGAGCGCGAAGUUCUGCUUCGGCGAAAGAAACUGAAGAAGAGCGGCGGAGGUUGGAGCCCAAACUGACUUUGUGUCAUAAUAAAUCUCUGCAAUCCACUACAGCUUUACAGUACCUGGAAGUAAACUGUCCUGAAUUAAGUAUGAGCACACAUACUGUAGCACCAGCAUCCCAGAACAAGCAUUUCCUCUGAGAUUCUUGAAAUUGCAAUUCCAAUAGAUCUGGAGUUCGCCAAACUGAGGAAGGAUGCUCUGCUUGAAGAGCCGUCUGUCCAAGUUGGGUUAAAGCUAUGCAUAAUUAUCCAUCUCAAAUGGCAAUAAACCAAGGACAGACACCUUUCUCUAGCUUGGAACUGUGCUUUUCAAAAUGAUGUUUUAAAAUUGGUAGCCUGGGGCCAUGAGAACAUGAUCGUGAUGGGGUGAUGUUGCUGAAAAGGGGCAGUAGCUGUGCCUUUUUUAUUAUUGGAAGUAGCUUGGUAUUAGCAAUAUAUGUG